CUGUAGCCAAUUAGACCACCAGGCUCCUUGCCUCAGGGAGGCCUAGGAUGCAUUGGCUGCAGACAGCAGCCUUCUNGGUAGUGUGGGCAGUCUGUCGCCUACUUGAGUUACCCUAGGGGACAUUGGAGACAGUU
rnacentral:snoRNA from 1 species